UUCUCUGUUUGUGCCACGUUCGACAAACGUUUGUUGUUUUGGGCUCUUGUUUUUCAUUAUUUCGUGUUUAAAAACAGACACUUUUCAAGAGUGCGUGGACAAAUAAUGCACAUGCAUAUAGCAGCUUCCUCAUAGAUUUCCCUCUGUGGACUGCCGUUGAUAGAAGGACGCUGUCAAUAUCUGGCCCGACCGGAGCUCCAUGAUGCCACCAUGAGCUUGCAGAGUGAAUACAUGGAACACCGUUACAUGUAUUCGGUUACUCCCAAAGCCAGCCCAUUCCUGCCUGAAAGACUUUACGGGUCCCUGUUGGACAAUGUAAAACGAGUGCCACUAGAGGGCACAUCAGGAAAGACGUUUAGAAAAUCAACAGGAAAUUUUAAGACAUGACAUGCAUCAAAGAAACGCCUGGUUCUCGAUUGUGCAGUCAAACAAAAGUGGGGGUCUUUCUAUAUUAACCUCUGUUUUCAAGGAGGCAUGCAGAAAUUUACUAGAGAGUAAUUCAGGAAGUUAACAGCAGUGAAUGUUGUAACAGUCAUCUAGAUGGUCAAGUAUUCAUACUGUGACCAAAUACAUUUUUGUAUGUGUUAGCA